CUCCAAUAGCGUAUAUUAAAGUUGUUGCAGUUAAAAAGCUCGUAGUUGAAUUUCGGGAUUAGUACAUUGGUCGUGCCUUCGGUACGUACUGGUGUUACUGGUUCCUACCUUCCGACGAACCAUCAUGUCAUUAAUUUGGUGUGGCGGGGAAUCAGGACUGUUACUUUGAAAAAAUUAGAGUGUUUAAAGCAGGCUCGCGCUUGAAUACAUUAGCAUGGAAUAAUGAAAUAGGACGUUGACCCUAUUUUGUUGGUUUCUAGGAUUGACGUAAUGAUUAAUAGGGAUAGUUGGGGGCAUUAGUAUUCAAUUGUCAGAGGUGAAAUUCUUGGAUUUAUUGAAGACUAACUACUGCGAAAGCAUUUGCCAAGGAUGUUUU
rnacentral:rRNA from 1 species